GCACGCGGUCGCGGUCCGGCAGCGCGUUCCAGGAGCUGUGAGUCUGCAGCAGUGCAGAUCGUUUCCGCACUGAGUCUAUUUUUGCUGUGCUGCACGCGCUGAAUUAAAGGGACAGCGCUUUUUUCACGCCCCGGAUCAGGAGCGGACUGCAAACGCGUCCUGUGUGAAAGCACAAUGAGUCCGUGCUGCUUCUGCACCGAGUACUUAACGGACAUGGACCGCAUACGCACUGCAGACGGAGCAUGUGUGAAACAGGCGUAAUAACUAUACGAUGUCCACUUAAUACGGAACUGCCACUGGUCCUUGACAGUUAUGGAAUAGGUGGGUGUAUUCUGGGACUUCACCUUCUUUGACGUGGAAAUGUUUUUUCUGUUGUUGUGCUGAACUUUGACGCAAGUAUAUCAUGGCCUUUACUUCCAUCUCAUGUGUGAGUACACAUGGUUUUGAACAUAUUAAUUUAUUUGUAUGUAAAACUUUUUUUAUUUAGUAAGAAAUUAAUGAGGUUAGUUGGGUAUGUUAAGGUAACAGUUAAAUGGCACAACACAGAAAUUAUGCUAGGGCUGCAGUUUAUCUGUUAGAAUAUCUUCCACAUCUUGUGUUUACAGAAUGCAGACUCAAUUCCCAAAGGAGGUAUCCUACUUUCAACUCUUAGAACUCUUAGAAGAAAGCAGCAAGUUUUUAACAGCAAAUUAGAAGAGGUACCAAAAAUUAUGACAACUACACUCAUCAACUUCAAAAAAAAAAAAACAUCCCCCACCCCCCUUUCUUCUAUAUAAAGAAACAGAAUUUAAGAGAGGAACUGAUGAACCUCAAUAGCAGGAGGAUGCAAAACAGUGCAUUAAAAUACUCUUUAACGCCCUUUCGAACCAACAUUUCUGAAACAGGAUGGUGUCAACAAUUUCACCCCUUCAGAACAGUUGAUAUAUACACUGUUUGUGUAUUAUAUAUAUAUAUAUAUAUAUAUAUAUAUAUAUGAGUAGUCUUUUAAAUAUUUUUCCCUCACUUUGACUCAGUGUAGCCUGCUGAGUGCUGAUGGCAAAAAUGAGCUGUGAUCGUACUUGCCCUUUUGUCUUUUUUUAGUCUCACUUAAACAGUUUGAAACUCCACACAGGAAAUGAGCAAAAUGUGACAAAGAGCUGAUUCUCACUAUCUACAUAACACAGAGCCUGCUACAAAAUGUUACAGAAAGAUGUGUCUACAUAGAGAAACAAAAAUAGAACUAUGUCCUGAUGCUAUGUACUGAGCUGAACUGUGUCAGGUUUUUCUUUGACAGGCCUUUCUCAUAAAAAUUCUUGAUGAAUGACUUACAAAUAUUACAUUUUUGAAAACUGCCAAAUUUAAUUGCAUCAAAACAAAAUAGAAUUCUAUAAAAGAUACAAAGUGUACAAAAAGUGUACAAAAUGAAAUAAAAAAGUAUUGUUUGAGAUCCAAAGCAUAAAAACACAUCAGUCUGUAGAGAUAAAUCUA